rnacentral:rRNA from 1 species
UACGGAGGGUGCGAGCGUUGUCCGGAUUUAUUGGGUUUAAAGGGUGCGCAGGCGGCCCGUUAAGUCAGAGGUGAAAGACGGUAGUUCAACUAUCGCAGUGCCUUUGAUACUGACGGGCUUGAAUACAGAUGAGGUAGGCGGAAUGUGACAAGUAGCGGUGAAAUGCAUAGAUAUGUCACAGAACACCGAUUGCGAAGGCAGCUUACUAAGCUGUGAUUGACGCUGAGGCUCGAAAGCGUGGGGAUCAAACAGG